UGGAAACAUGCAAAUAUUUGAAAUUUUCUUUUCUUUUUCCAUUUUUUUUUGGGAAAUUAAAAUGAAAACUACAGGAAUAAAAACUACAUGAAAAACUAUUAACUGAAUACUAUAUGAAUGCAACUAGAUGAAUACUACAUGAAUGAACUGGAGCUGGAAGAUUGCACCCCCAAACUUAACCUAUGCAAUGUCCUCAUUGUAUAUAACAAACAAAAUUUUAAGAAAUUAAGCACUGAGGACUUCCCUGAAAGAUAGAAGCUUUAUUCCGCGUCAGUAUCCUCUUCUUCUACUUCUUCUUCAUCAUCCGGGGGGUACGCAGACAAUGGGGGAAAUUGGUAGGGAGCAGCAGCUGGAUUCAUACGGGCAAACAUCUCUAGGAAUGCUGCACUACAGUUCUGAUACACCUCUGCUUGUCGCUGAGCUAGGCUAUCCUGAUUGCUUUCAACCCGGUCAAAACCCUGUUGAACUCUAGUAGCCACCAUGUCAAUCCUUCUAGUUUGAUUUCUUAAUUCUCGGCGAAUAUCUUCAAAAAAAAUUGGUGGUGGCCCAGAACUUCCAGCUGCAGGAGGAUUGUCAUGGGAUUGUUGAUUAGGCUCGGUUGCAGACUCGGGAGGCACAAUAAUGAACCCUAACCCUCUCGGGUGUGGUGUACCCCCACCCCAUACCUUGUACUUCUUAAUAAGCGAGUGGUCAAUCGCAGCUAAGGGAGG
rnacentral:lncRNA from 1 species